rnacentral:rRNA from 1 species
UACGAAGGGUGCAAGCGUUACUCGGAAUUACUGGGCGUAAAGCGCGCGUAGGUGGUUCGUUAAGUCUGAUGUGAAAGCCCUGGGCUCAACCUGGGAAUGGCAUUGGAUACUGGCGACCUAGAGUGCGGUAGAGGGGUGUGGAAUUCCCGGUGUAGCAGUGAAAUGCGUAGAUAUCGGGAGGAACACCAGUGGCGAAGGCGACUACCUGGCCUGUUCUUGACGCUGAGGCGCGAAAGCUAGGGGAGCAAACGGG